rnacentral:tRNA from 1 species
GCCGAGGUGGCGGAACUGGCAGACGCGCAGCGUUGAGGGCGCUGUGAACGCUUCGUUCGUGCGGGUUCGAGUCCCGCCCUCGGCACCA